rnacentral:rRNA from 1 species
AACGAACGCUGGCGGCGUGGAUAAGACAUGCAAGUCGAACGGGAUUUUCUUUGGUAGCAAUACCGAAGAAAAUUUAGUGGCGAACGGGUGCGUAACACGUGGGCAAUCUGCCUUAAAGUGGGGGAUAGCUCGGCGAAAGCCGGAUUAAUACCGCAUGUGAUUACCGGAGACAUCUUCGGAACAUCAAAGUCGGGGCAACCUGACGCUUUUUGAGGAGCCCGCGGCCUAUCAGCUAGUUGGUGAGGUAACGGCUAACCAAGGCUUUGACGGGUAGCUGGUCUGAGAGGACGACCAGUCACACUGGAACUGAGACACGGUCCAGACACCUACGGGUGGCAGCAGUCGAGAAUUUUUCUCAAUGGGGGAAACCCUGAAGGAGCGACGCCGCGUGGAGGAUGAAGGUCUUCGGGUUGUAAACUCCUGUCAUUUGGGAACAAUGCUUACGUAUUAACUGUACGUGAGUUGAUAGUACCAGAAGAGGAAGAGACGGCUAACUCUGUGCCAGCAGCCGCAGUAACAC